rnacentral:rRNA from 1 species
AUUGAACGCUGGCGGCAUGCCUUACACAUGCAAGUCGGACGGCAGCACGGGAGCAAUCCUGGUGGCGAGUGGCGAACGGGUGAGUAAUAUAUCGGAACGUGCCCAGUCGUGGGGGAUAACGUAGCGAAAGCUACGCUAAUACCGCAUACGAUCUACGGAUGAAAGCGGGGGAUCGCAAGACCUCGCGCGAUUGGAGCGGCCGAUAUCAGAUUAGGUAGUUGGUGGGGUAAAGGCUCACCAAGCCGACGAUAUGUAGCUGGUCUGAGAGGACGACGAGCCACACGAGGACUGAGACACGGCCCAGACUCCUACGGGAGGCAGCAGUGGGGAAUUUUGGACAAUGGGCGCAAGCCUGAUCCAGCAAUGCCGCGGGCAGGAUGAAGGCCUUCGGGUUGUAAACUGCUUUUGUACGGAACGAAACGGCGAGCUCUAAUACAGAGAGCUAAUGACGGUACCGUAAGAAUAAGCACCGGCUAACUACGUGCCAGCAGCCGCCGUAA